UAGGAAGUGGUGUAGCGGAAGCACUAAGAGUUUUGAUCUCUUGGGGUGGGGUUCAAAUCCCUUCUUUCU
rnacentral:tRNA from 1 species